GAUGAACGCUAGCGGCAGGCUUAAUACAUGCAAGUCGUGGGGCAGCAGGACUGUAGCAAUACAGUUGCUGGCGACCGGCAAACGGGUGUGGAACACGUACGCAACUUACCCUGUACUGGGGGAUUGCCCGGGGAAAACCGGAUCAAUACCCCGUAAUAUAAUGGAGUGGAAUCCCUUUAUUAUUAACGCUCUGGCGGUUUGGGUUGGGCGUGCGACUGAUUAGGUAGUUGGUUGAGGUAACGCCUCACCAAGCAUACGAUCAGGAACUGGUGUGAGGGCACGACCAGUCACAAGGGCACUGAGACACAGGCCCGACUCCGACGGGAGGCAGCAGUAAGGAAUAUUGGGCAAUGGAGCCAACUCCGACCCAGCCAUGCCGGGUGGAGGAUGAAGGCCGUCUGGGUUGUAAACUUCUGUUAUAGGGGACGAAACCGGUGUAUUCUUGCGCAGUUGACGGUACCCAAGGAAUAAGCACCGGCUAACUCCGUG
rnacentral:rRNA from 1 species